GACAGAGGGUGCAAACGUUGUUCGGAAUUACUGGGCGUAAAGCGCGUGUAGGCGGCCCGGAAAGUCGGAUGUGAAAGCCCUGGGCUUAACCUAGGAAGUGCAUUCGAAACUCCCGGGCUUGAGUUCUGGAGAGGAAGGCGGAAUUCUCGGUGUAGAGGUGAAAUUCGUAGAUAUCGAGAGGAACACCGGUGGCGAAGGCGGCCUUCUGGACAGUGACUGACGGCUGAGACGCGAAAGCGUGGGGAGCAAACAGGAU
rnacentral:rRNA from 1 species